GUAGUCCACGCCGUAAACGAUGCUAACUCGUUUUUGGGUCUUCGGAUUCAGAGACUAAGCGAAAGUGAUAAGUUAGCCACCUGGGGAGUACGAACGCAAGUUUGAAACUCAAAGGAAUUGACGGGGGCCCGCACAAGCGGUGGAUUAUGUGGUUUAAUUCGAUGAUACGCGAGGAACCUUACCAAGGCUUAAAUGGGAAUUGAUCGGUUUAGAAAUAGACCUUCCUUCGGGCAAUUUUCAAGGUGCUGCAUGGUUGUCGUCAGCUCGUGCCGUGAGGUGUUAGGUUAAGUCCUGCAACGAGCGCAACCCCUGUCACUAGUUGCUAACAUUCAGUUGAGGACUCUAGUGAGACUGCCUACGCAAGUAGAGAGGAAGGUGGGGAUGACGUCAAAUCAUCACGGCCCUUACGCCUUGGGCCACACACGUAAUACAAUGGCCGGUACAGAGGGCAGCUACACAGCGAUGUGAUGCAAAUCUCGAAAGCCGGUCUCAGUUCGGAUUGGAGUCUGCAACUCGACUCUAUGAAGCUGGAAUCGCUAGUAAUCGCGCAUCAGCCAUGGCGCGGUGAAUACGUUCCCGGGCCUUGUACACACCGCCCGUCAAGCCAUGGAAGUCUGGGGUACYGAAGUCGGUGACCGUAACAGSAG
rnacentral:rRNA from 1 species